AGGACGAACGCUGGCGGCGUGCUUAACACAUGCAAGUGGAGCGACGAACCGGGGCUUGCCCCGGGGCAGAGCCGCGAACGGGUGAGUAACACGUGGGUUACCUGCCUCAAUGACCGGGACAACCCGAGGAAACUCGGGCUAAUACCGGAUGUGCCCGCAAGGGGAAAGGAAGCUUCGGCCUCCGCAUUGAGAUGGGCCCGCGGCCCAUUAGCUUGUUGGUGAGGUAACGGCUCACCAAGGCUUCGAUGGGUAGCUGGUCUGAGAGGACAAUCAGCCACACUGGGACUGAGACACGGCCCAGACUCCUACGGGAGGCAGCAGUGGGGAAUCUUGCGCAAUGCGCGAAAGCGUGACGCAGCAACGCCGCGUGGGGGAAGAAGGCUUUCGGGUUGUAAACCCCUUUCAGUUGGGACGAAGCUUCGUCGGUUAAUAGCCGGCUGGAGUGACGGUACCUUCACAAGAAGCACCGGCUAACUACGCGCCAGCAGCCGCGGU
rnacentral:rRNA from 1 species